rnacentral:lncRNA from 1 species
UUCCCGUGGCAUAUGGAGGUGCCCAGGCUAGGGGUCGGUCUAAUCAGAGCUGUCACCACCGGCCUACGCCAGAGUCAUAGCAAUGAGGGAUCCCAGCCGAGCCGCGUCUGCGACCUACACCACAGCUCAUGGCAACGCCAGAUCCUUAACCCACUGAGCAAGGCCAGGGAUUGAACCUACAACCUCAUGGUCCCUAGUCGGCUAUGUUAACCACUGCAUCAGGACGGGAACUCCUUUAAUGCUUGUUUUGAAAUAUUAAAUUUAUUUCAUACCCAACAACGGGUUGCAACCUGCCGUUCGAAACAGAGUGAUCCGGUGAGCAACACACACAUGCCUUGAGAAUCACAAACUGUUACCAUCAAAGUGUGGAGAAGAUCUCGAAGUGGCUCAAGCUGCCAGCACACACCUGCCUAAGGCAGCAAGUAUCCUUUUUAAUUUCUCCACAAUUUCCUCCUUUUUAUUUACGCAUUUUUAAAUCUUUUUAACAAUUUAAUUUUAUCGAAGUAGAGUUGAUUUACAAUGUUGUAUUGGUUUCAGGUGUACAGCCAAGUGGAGCGGUCAUACAUAUAAAUAGAUCCAUUCAUUUUUUCCCAGGUAGGUUAUUACAAACCACUGAGUAGACUUCCCUGCGCUAUUCAAUCGGUUCUUGUUAAUCGUCUAUUUUAUACAGUCGAGUGUAUAGAGGAGUUUGGCAAUCGACCUGAAAAAGAAUUCAGAGUAAUCACAGUAGGAUGAUCCGGGUUCUCCAAAGAAGAAUGGAGACACAGAUGGAGAAGCCCCAAGAAACCUUUAACAGAGAGUUUACAAAAUGUUCUGAUAAAGCACCGGGCAAAUCCUCAGGCCUCAAAGCUAGAGACGUGUUGGGGCCUAGGAGAAAAGAAGGAAGAGAUACUUAAUGGUUCUGGCUUGACUUGGCACCAAAGUCAUCACGAGUAGCUGAGGGGGCAGUUUCUUAGCCUCAAUAAAAUGUAUCCACCAGGAGUUCCCAUCGUGGCUCAGCAGUUAACGAACCUGACUAGCAUCUGUGAGGACGCCGGGUUGAUCCCUGGCCUCGCUCAGUGGGUUGAGGAUCUGGCGUGGCCGUGAGCUGUGGUGUAGGUCGCAGACGUGGCUCAGAUCCCUCAUUGCUGUUGGUGUAGGCGGGUGGCUGCAGCUCUGAUUGGACCCCUAGCCUGGGAACCUCCAUAUGCCACAAGUGUGGCCCUAAAAAGAUAAAAAAAUAAAAUAAUACAAUAAAAUAAAAUGAAAAUAAACUACUCAGAAGAAAAAGAAUCCAUCACCUAGAAUCUGACUGGGACAUGUUCGGCACAUGUUAGGCACUCAAUAAAACUUAUUUAUUACUAUGAAUACUAAGGAUUAUCUUCAAAAAAUAAUUUUUCUGUGUCUU